rnacentral:rRNA from 1 species
UACGGAGGAUCCAAGCGUUAUCCGGAAUCAUUGGGUUUAAAGGGUCCGUAGGCGGUCUUAUAAGUCAGUGGUGAAAUCUCCCCGCUCAACGGGGAAACGGCCAUUGAUACUGUAGGACUUGAAUUAUUAGGAAGUAACUAGAAUAUGUAGUGUAGCGGUGAAAUGCUUAGAGAUUACAUGGAAUACCAAUUGCGAAGGCUAGGUUGAUCUACUAAUGAUUGACGCUGAUGGACGAAAGCGUGGGGAGCGAACAGG